GAAACAGGUUAAUAUUCCUGUACCAGUACUAACUGCGAUGGAGAGACGGAGAAGGCUAGGCAUACCGGGCGUUGGUUGUCCCGGGGAAAGAUUGUAGGCUGGGAACUUAGGCAAAUCCGGGUUCCUAAGGCUGAGAGUCGAGACCACUGCCCUUUGUGGCGGGAAGUUGUCGAUGCCAUGCUUCCAGGAAAUACCUUCUAAGCUUCAGGUUAGUAGUGACCGUACUCCAAACCGACACAGGUGGUCGGG
rnacentral:rRNA from 1 species